AUAAAGUUUUAUUCUAGCUUAAAAAUAUAUUUAAUAAUAAAUUAUUUGUACAUGUAAUAAUUUUAGUUAAUUAAAAUUAGUCUAAAUGACAAUUAUUAAAAUACACAGUAUAUAAUAUUAUUUUUUAUUAAUAUUGGAAAUAGUAAUUUUAAUAAGAAGGGACAAAUUUUGUGCCAGCAGUCGCGGUUAUACAAAAUCUUUCAAUUGAAUAUAAUAAGUUUACAGUUAAAAUAUCAUUAUUUUUAUAAAUUAUAUAAAUUUUAGUGAAAUAUAUUUAUAUAUCUUUUAAAAUUAUAUAUCUGAGAAACUAUUAAUUAAACUAGGAUUAGAUACCCUACUAUUUAAAAGUGUAAAUAAUAUUUACUUGAUUAUUAUUAGAUAUGAUCUUUAAAUUCAAAGAAUUUGGCGGUAAUAUAUCUUUUCAGAGGAAUCUGUUUUAUAAUUGAUAGUCCACGAUAGAUUAAACUUUAUUAUGACUUGUAUACCGCUGUCAAGAAUGUUCUUUCAGGAAAAAUUUUCUUUAUAUUUUAUAAAUAAAAUGUCAGGUCAAGGUGCAGUUUAUUAUAAAGAAUAAAUGGAUUACUAUUAUUAUAUAUUUUGAAAAUUUUAAUAUAUUAAAAUUAUAUAUUGGAUUUGAUAGUAAAAUAAUUAAAUUUAAUUAAUUGAAAUUAGUUCUAUAUUAUGUACACAUCGCCCGUCACUCUCAUUUUAAGAUGAGAUAAGUCGUAACAAAGUAGCUUUACCGGAAGGUGUAGCUAGAAUGA
rnacentral:ncRNA from 1 species